rnacentral:rRNA from 1 species
UUGAUCCUGGCUCAGAAUCAACGCUGGCGGCGUGCCUAACACAUGCAAGUCGAACGAGAAAGUGGAGCAAUCCAUGAGUAAAGUGGCGACCGGGUGAGUUACACGUGACUAACCUACCUUCGAGUGGGGGAUAACCUCGGGAAACCGGGUCUAAUACCGCAUAAUGCCUUCGGGUUAAAGGAGCAAUUCGCUUGAAGAGUGGGUCGCGGCUGAUUAGUUAGUUGGCGGGGUAACGGCCCACCAAGACGAUGAUCGGUAGCCGGCCUGAGAGGGCGCACGGCCACACUGGAACUGAAACAUGGUCCAGACUCCUACGGGAGGCAGCAGUGGGGAAUUUUGCGCAAUGGGGUAAACCCUGACGCAGCAACGCCGCGUGGAGGAUGAAGUCCCUUGGGACGUUAACUCCUUUCGACCGGGACGAUAAUGACGGUACCGGUGGAAGAAGCCCCUGCUAACUUCGUGCCAGCAGCCGCGGUAAUU